rnacentral:tRNA from 1 species
GCGCCCGUAGCUCAGGUGGAUAGAGCAACUGCCUUCUAAGCAGUGGGUCGGAGGUUCGAAUCCUUCCGGGCGCACCA